UCAGGACACUACAUGAUGGAAGACGUACCGAAAGACUGAGGAACAGUAUUCUACUUAAAUAAAAAUCAUGGGACAGACACAGCAAACAGAGAACGCAGAAGAAAUUGAUGUUAAAGCGCUGCAGGAUAUGUAUAAAAAAUUUGUGACAGAAUGCCCGAGUGGAGUACUUUUUCUACAUGAAUUCAAGCGUUUCUUUGGCGUGGACCCAACCGGUGAAGCAUCGGAUUACGCUGAGAACAUGUUUCGAGCUUUUGACAGUAAUGGGGACAACACUAUUGAUUUCCUCGAAUUUGUAGCUGCACUGAAUCUUGUUUUUCGAGGUGACAUGGAGCAUAAAUUGCGCUGGUCAUUCAAGGUGUAUGACAAAGACAGCAAUGGCUACGUGGACAAAGAUGAACUCCGGUCAAUAAUCAAUCCUAAAUCCAGCGUUGGAUCGCUGCAUGUGUUUGAGAUUAACUGCGGCCGACUUCAACAGCCUGAAGCGGAAUGUGGGACGGCCCACUACUUGAAGGCAUGGCGCAGUGUCUGGGGAAGAGCAUUUAUUGUGCAAACAAAGGCACAAAGACAGACACAAAUGAGUCCCACUUGACAGUAGAUGAUGCUGUGGAACGAAUACUGAAGGCUGUUGAUAGUGAUGGGGAUGGUUGUAUCAAUAUGGAAGAGUUCAUUAGAGGUGCACAGCAGGACCCUUGGGUCCUUAACAUGUUGAAGUUGGACAUAAAUCCUUCGCUAUGGAUUCUCGACAAAAGGAGAAAGAGUGCACACUUUUAAUUCUGGAGAGGCCAAGUCCACAUAUAAGGCCUUUAUGCAAUUAAUAUGACAUUCAAAAAUACAGUAUCUGUAAAUGACAGUGGACAAACACAGGAUGUUAUGCGUCUAAUCAAUCCCUUGGCCAGGACAAAUUUUAAGCUACAGUGGGGCAAGUAAGUAUUUAGUCAACUACUAAUUGUGCAAGUUCUCCCACUUGAAAAUAUUAGAGAGGCCUGUAAUUGUCAACAUAGGUAAACCUCAACCAAGUGCUUUAACUCUUUGGCUGCCACAGUUUAAAAAUAAUAAAAAGCCGAGUUACAGCCUUCCUGCCACUCUGAACACAGUAAAUCAAACUAUUAGCUGUAGUACAGUGGGGCAAAUAAGUGUUUAGUCAACCACUAUUUGUGCAAGUUCUCCCACUUGAAAAUAUUAGAGAGGCCUGUAAUUGUCAACAUGGGUAAACCUCAACCAUGAGAGUCAGAAUGUGGGGAAAAAAAAAACAGAAAAUCACAUUGUUUGAUUUUUAAAAAAUAUAUUUGCAAAUCAUGAUGGAAAAUAAGUAUUUGGUCAAUACCAAAAGUUCAUCUCAAUACUUUGUUAUGUACCCUUUGUUGACAAUAACGGAGGCCGAACUUUUUCUGUAACUCUUCACAAGCUAUUCACACUGUGGCUGGUGUUUUGGCCCAUUCCUCUAUGCAGAUCUCCUCUAGAGCAAUGAUGUUUUGGGGCUGUCGUUGGGCAAAACGGACUCUCAACUCCUUCCACAGAUUUUCUAUGGGGUUGAGAUCUGGAGACUGGCUAGGCCACUCCAGGACCUUGAAAUGCUUCUUAUGAAGCCCUCCUUUGUUGCCCUGGCUGUGUGUUUGGGAUCAUUGUCAUGCUGAAAGACCCAGCCAUGUCUCAUCUUCAAUGCCCUUGCUGAUGGAAGGAGAUUUUCACUCAAAAUCUCUCGAUACAUGGCCCAAUUCAGUCUUUCCUUUACACAGAUCAGUUGUCCUGAUCCCUUUGCAGAAAAACAGCCCCAGAGCAUGAUGUUUCCACCCCCAUGCUUCACAGUGGGUAUGGUGUUCUUCGGAUGCAAUUAAAUAUUCUUUCUCCUACAAACACGAGAACCUGUGUUACUACCAAAAAGUUCUAUUUUGAUUUCAUGUGACCAUAACACAUUCUCCCAGUCCUCUUCUGGAUCAUCCAAAUGCUCUCUAGCGAACCGCAGACAGGCCUGGAUUUGUACUGGCUUCAGAAUGGGGACACGUCUGGCAGUGCAGGAUUUGAGUCCCUGGCGGCGCAUUGUGUUACUGAUAGUAGCCUUUGUUACUGUGGUCGCAGCUCUCUGUAGGUCAUUCACUAGGUCCCCCCGUGUGGUUCUGGGAUUUUUGCUCACUGUUCUUGUUAUCAUUUUAACGCCACAGGGUGAGAUCUUGCAUGGAGCCCGUGAUUAUCAGUGGUCUUUUAUGUCUUCCAUUUUCUAAUAAUUGCUCCCACAGCUGAUUUCUGUACACCAAGCGUAUUACCUAUUGCAGAUUCAGUCUUCCCAGCGUGGUGGUUUUGUCUCUGGUGUCCUUCGACAGCUCUUUGGUCUUGGCCAUAGUGGACUUUGGAGUGUGACUGACUGAGUUUGUGGACAGGUGUCUUUUAUACCGAUAAUGAGUUAAAACAGGUGCCAUUAAUACAGGUAACGGAGCCUCGUUAGACCUUGUUAGAAGAAGUUAGAAGAAACAGCCAGAAAUCUUUCUUGUUUGUAGGUGGCCAAAUACUUAUUUUCCACUCUAAUUUGGAAAUAAAUUAUUUAAAAAUCAAACAAUGUGAUUUUCUGUUUUUUUUUUUUUUUUUUUUCCAUAUUCUGUCUCUAAUG